rnacentral:rRNA from 1 species
AGAAUCAACGCUGGCGGCGUGCCUAACACAUGCAAGUCGCACGAGAAAGGGGAGCAAUCCCUGAGUAAAGUGGCGCACGGGUGAGUAACACGUGAAUCAUCUACCCUCGGGUGGGGAAUAACCUGGAGAAAUCCGGGCUAAUACCGCAUAACACUUACGAGUCAAAGCAGAAAUGCGCCUGGGGAGGAGUUCGCGGCCGAUUAGCUAGUUGGCGGGGUAAUGGCCCACCAAGGCGAUGAUCUGUAUCCGGCCUGAGAGGGCGCACGGACACACUGGAACUGAAACACGGUCCAGACUCCUACGGGAGGCAGCAGUGGGGAAUUUUGCGCAAUGGGGGAAACCCUGACGCAGCAACGCCGCGUGGAGGAUGACGCCCCUUGGGUGUAAACUCCUUUCGAUCGGGAAGAUAAUGACGGUACCGAUAUAAGAAGCCCCGGCUAACUUCGUGCCAGCAGCCGC